CACGCCGUAAACGAUGAGUACUAAGUGUCGGGAAACCGGUGCUGAAGUUAACACAUUAAGUACUCCGCCUGAGUAGUACGGUCGCAAGGCUAAAACUUAAAGGAAUUGACGGGCACCCGCACAAGCGGUGGAGCAUGCUGUUUAAUUCGACGCUACGCGAAAAACCUUACCUAGGCUUGACAUCCCUGGCAAAGCUAUAGAGAUAUAGUGGAGGUUACCCAGGUGACAGGUGG
rnacentral:rRNA from 1 species